rnacentral:lncRNA from 10 species
CGGAUCAUUGUUCCAUUAUAGCAUAUGGAUUAUUAAUGAGAAAGCCACUUAGAACAAAGCCGUCCACAGUUAUAGUUCUUUCAUCUUGAAAACUAACAACACAAGGUCACUGCCCUGGAGGACUCCUUGAAAAACUGACACUUGUCCAUUAUGCAAAUUCUUUGUUGAUUGUUGUUGGGUCCAGAGUCUAGUUAUGUAGGGAACUAGAGAGAAAAAGAGAGAGAGAGAGGAGAGAGAGGGAGAUAGAAGAGAGAAGAGAUUUGAAACCCAUCUCACACCCUAAAUGUGGGCAGGCUUGCAGACAGAUAUCUUGGAACUACGAGGUAAACAUGGUCUAAAUCCCCUGUUUUGGGAAGAUAAGUGCUCAGAGUUCUGUAAGCUAAAUGCACACUGCUGAAAUGUGAUUGAAAACUUUGUGAUGUGAAGACUAAAAAUCACAAGUAGGAGGCAGGCAGUGUUUAAUCUUCUGCUGGAUGACAAUUCAAGAUAGACUGAUAGAGAUACCUGCUGCCUGAUAAACCAGUCACUUUUCUUCUGGAAAAAUGUCCAACUGUAGCAGACAGAAAGGAAGCCAAGAGAGGGUGUUUACAGCAAGGAGGGGCUAUGAAAUAUCUUCACUCCAGGUUCUUUAUGAGGUGCAGUGUAUCAUUUUUAUCAGCAAUUGGAAGCAUGCUGCAUGUUUGACUCUGUGGACUCCUGCUUUACACAACAGAACAUUCCGAUGGUGUGCAUGUGCCAUAGUACGUAUAGAAAUUCUAAGAA